rnacentral:rRNA from 1 species
AGUGAACGCUGGCGGUAGGCCUAACACAUGCAAGUCGAACGGCAGCACAGUAAGAGCUUGCUCUUACGGGUGGCGAGUGGCGGACGGGUGAGGAAUACAUCGGAAUCUACUUUUUCGUGGGGGAUAACGUAGGGAAACUUACGCUAAUACCGCAUACGACCUACGGGUGAAAGCAGGGGAUCUUCGGACCUUGCGCGAUUGAAUGAGCCGAUGUCGGAUUAGCUAGUUGGCGGGGUAAAGGCCCACCAAGGCGACGAUCCGUAGCUGGUCUGAGAGGAUGAUCAGCCGCACUGGACCUGAGACACGGUCCAGACUCCUACGGGAGGCAGCAGUGGGGAAUAUUGGACAAUGGGCGCAAGCCUGUUCCAGCCAUACCGCGUGGGUGAAGAAGGCCUUCGGGUUGUAAAGCCCUUUUGUUGGGAAAGAAAAGCAGCAGGUUAAUACCCCGCUGUUCUGACGGUACCCAAAGAAUAAGCACCGGCUAACUUCGG